CUGAGAUCAAAAUACAUAAGGAUAGCAUGACAAACCCUACCAAAAAAAAUCUGGAUCUUCAUCUCAGAUUUUGAGAAAAUUCCAAGGCUAUAGGCUUCCUGUUUUUUUCGGCAAAAAAGUGAAGCAUUUGCCAGAAUAAAUUCGGGACGCUUUUUCUAUGUAAAAAAGCGUAUCGAACGAGAAGCCGUCAAUAAAAUUGAGCUGGCGUAAGAUUCCAUCGAGAUUCGGAUUCCUGAGAUCAAAAUACAUAAGGAUAGCAUGACAAACCCUACCAAAAAAAAUCUGGAUCUUCAUCUCAGAUUUUGAGAAAAUUCCAAGGCUAUAGGCUUCCUGUUUUUUUCGGCAAAAAAGUAAAGCAUUUGCUAGAAUAAUUCUAGGACGCUUUUCCUACGUGAAAGAGCGUAUCGAACAAGAGGCCGUCAAUGAAAUUGAGCUGGCGUAAGAUUCCAUCGAGAUUCGGAUUCCUGAGAUCAAAAUACAUCGGAAUCACAUAGAAAUUCUCAUGAAUAAAAUUCUCUCUAGAUACUCCGGAAAGAUGUUCCUAGACCUGGUGCCUCAUCAUGUCCAUGCCUUCAUUUCUGUGUAAUAAAUCAUACUUUUACAGGGUAUAUUAAAGACAUAAGCUAGUUUCAUGCUGGCCUGAUAUUAUGCAAUCAUAUGUAUUCAAUCCCACUCCUAUCAAUACAUUCAC